rnacentral:rRNA from 1 species
AAUGGGCGAAAGCCUGACGCAGCCACGCCGCGUGGAGGAAGACACCCUAUGGGGCGUAAACUCCUUUUAUAUGGGAAGAAAGUCCCGGUCGCCGGGGCCUGACGGUACCAUAUGAAUAAGCACCGGCUAACUCCGUGCCAGCAGCCGCGGUAAUACGGAGGGUGCAAGCGUUGUCCGGAUUUACUGGGUGUACAGGGUGUGUAGGUGGAAUUGCAAGUUAGUGGUGAAAUCCUGCGGCUUAACCGUAGAACUGCUAUUGAUACUGCUUUUCUUGAGUACUGGAGAGGUCACUAGAAUUCGUGGUGUAGCGGUGAAAUGCGUAGAUAUCACGAGGAAUACCAGAGGCGUAGGCGGGUGACUGGACAGAUACUGACACUGAGGCACGAAAGCGUGGGGAGCUAAGAGGAUU